rnacentral:rRNA from 1 species
CCCGUAGGGCGCAAGCGUUGUCCGGAAUUAUUGGGCGUAAAGAGCUCGUAGGCGGUCUGUUGCGUCUGCUGUGAAAACUCGGGGCUUAACCCCGAGCCUGCAGUGGAUACGGGCAGACUAGAGGUAGGUAGGGGAGAAUGGAAUUCCCGGUGUAGCGGUGAAAUGCGCAGAUAUCGGGAGGAACACCGGUGGCGAAGGCGGUUCUCUGGGCCUUACCUGACGCUGAGGAGCGAAAGCGUGGGGAGCGAACAGG